rnacentral:rRNA from 1 species
GCCUGCAACUCGGCUGCAUGAAGCUGGAAUCGCUAGUAAUCGCGGAUCAGAAUGCCGCGGUGAAUACGUUCCCGGGUCUUGUACACACCGCCCGUCACACCAUGGGAGCCGGAAACGCCCGAAGCCAGCGGCCCAACCGCAAGGGGGGGAGCUGUCGAAGGCGGGUCCGGUGACCGGGGUGAAGUCGUAACAAGGUAUC